AUUGGGGGUAAAAUUAGUAUAAAUUUUAAAUAAUAAAAAUAAUUUUAAUAAAUAUGAAUAUUUAAAUGGGGGGUUUAAGUAUUUUUUAAAGAAAAAAUUUUUUGAUUUAUAGUAGAUUAGUAUUGUGAAAGAAAUUUGAAAUAUAUGAAAAUAAAUUUUUUUGAAAGUAAAUUUUAAUUAUUGUAUCUUGUGUAUCAGAGUUUAUUAAUAAAAUAUUUUAAUUAAAAUUUUCUCGAAUUUAAAAGAGUUAAUUAAUUAAUAAAUUUAUUGUAGCAAAAAUAUUUUUAAUAAUUAAUUUGAAAUGAAAUGUUAAUCGUUUUUAAAUAUAUCUAGUUUUUUUAGAAAAAAAUUUAAUUUUAAGUUAAUUUAAGAAAAAAUUUAAUUAAAUAAAUUUUUAAAAAUUAAUUUUAAUAUGUUAAGGGAUAAGCUUUAAUUUAGAAAAUUUAUAAGAUUUUUUUUUAUUAAUGAAAUUUUUAAAAUUUAUAUUGUUUAAAAAUUUUAAUUUUUUAUAAAUAAUUUCAUUAAGAAUUAAAAUUUAAUUUAACUUUAAUUUUUUAUAAAAAAUUAAAAUUUAUUAAUUUAAUUUUAAUUAUAAUGAUAAAAUUAGUAUAAAUUUAAUUAAUUAAUUUAUAUUAUAUAAUUUGUUAAUUAAUUAUAAGGAAUUCGGCAAAAAUUUAUAUUCACUUGUUUAUCAAAAACAUGUCUUUUUGAAUUAUAAUUAAAAGUCUAAUCUGCCCACUGAUAUAAAAUUAAAGGGCUGCAGUAUUUUGACUGUACAAAGGUAGCAUAAUCAUUAGUCUCUUAAUUGGUGACUUGUAUGAAUGAUUGGAUGAGAUAUAAACUGUCUUAUUUUUAUACAUAUAGAAUUUAAUUUUUUAAUUAAAAAGUUAAAAUAAAUUUAAAAGACGAGAAGACCCUAUAGAGUUUAAUAUAAUAAAUUAAUUGAUAAUUUUUAUAUAAAAUUUAAAUUUAAAUUAAUUUUUAUAUUUUGUUGGGGUGACAGAAAAAUAAAAUUAACUUUUUUUAUUAUAGAUAUAUAUAUAUAUAUAUAUAUAUAUAUAUAUAUAUAUAUAUAAUUUACAUUUAUAGAUGAAUAAUUGAUCCAUAAUUUUUGAUUAAAAGAUUAAAUUACCUUAGGGAUAACAGCGUAAUUUUAUUUUUUAGUUCAUAUAAAAAGUAAAGUUUGCGACCUCGAUGUUGGAUUAAGAUAAAAUUUAAAUGCAAAAGUUUAAAAUUUUGAUCUGUUCGAUCAUUAAAAUCUUACAUGAUCUGAGUUCAAACCGGUGUAAGCCAGGUUGGUUUCUAUCUUUAAAAAUAUAAAAUAUUUUAGUACGAAAGGAUCAAAUAUUUAAAAUAAUUUUAAUAUAAUGAAUAUUAAUAAUUAAAUUUAUAUUUAAAAAUGAAUUUA
rnacentral:rRNA from 1 species